UCAGCCACAAACUGCCGCCUCACAGGUCUGGGGCCUGCUCUCCUGCCUGGCUGGCUGGCCCUGUCCCACGGCCCUGUGGGAGCGGACCUGUGGGGCCAGGGAAUGGCAGCACUUCCCAUUCUGUGGGGCUGGGUGCUUGUGGCUGCCGUGAGGACAGGUGCCACUUCAAGUUUUGUGGAGCAAAGGCCCGAGUGGGCCCUGGUGCGCCGCGGAGCGGCUGAAACGCUGCAAUGCUUCCUAAAGGAUACCCAGUACCCCUGGAUGAGCUGGUACCAACAGGAUCUCCAGGGGCAACUCCAGGUGCUGGCCAGUCUGCGGUAUUCUGGGGACAAGGAGGUCAUAUCCCUUCCUGGAGCAGAUUACCGGGUCAUGCGCGUGGAUGACAAGGAGCUGAGGCUGCACGUGGCCAACGUGACACAGGGCAGAACCCUGUACUGCAGCUGCAGCAAAGACACAGUGAGAAACUCUCCUUAGACAAAUGAAU